AUGGUUUCUGAAAAUCAAAUAUUAAUUGGGAUCAUCAAUCGCGAUUUGUGUAGCAAGCUAGAAAAGCAACUUACCUAUUUUAUAUCAAAUUAAUAUAUAGGAAGCUAUAUACAGCAAUGUUAGAAAAAUAAUUUAUCUAUUUCGUCAUUUAUAAUCGAUAUGUGAUAAGGUAAUUGCAUAUGCAUUUGCGCAAGCAUGUCGAUAAGUAUAUGAAAAGACCCAUGACUAAGGAACAAAGAUAUAUAAACGACAUGCAACCGAAAAGAGUCCAUAAGUUUAUUUCAAUUUACAUUCGUUAGUUGCAAUAUUUGAUUAAGACGCAAUACGAUUGAUCUAAGUUCUAGAAAUCAAAAGAAAUACAAUUUCGUUCUACAUACAAGAAAAAUAAAUAUUAAAAAGAUGAAGUACAUUAUUUUCACUAUUCUUAUCAUAAUUGUUAUGGCUCUUGCGGUUCCUCAAGGGGAUAAAAAAGAUGAGUGUAUCGGUCAAUAUUGUAGUAAAACUAGUGAUGACUUGUUGUCCUGAUUUGAUAUGUUGGGACUAUUUUGCAAAAUGUAUAAGAAAAUAGGUUUAUCCGGUUAAAUCCAAAAGAGAUCUCUUGGUCUUGGAUCUUACCUACUAAAUGUGCCACUUAAUUGAUGCUUUUUGAUAAUGACGUGUUUUCUUUGUGAAGCAAAGUCUUUGUAUAUAUAUAUCUUAAUAAAGGAUAUUUAAAAACUGUA